rnacentral:rRNA from 1 species
AACGAACGCUGGCGGCAUGCCUAACACAUGCAAGUAGAACGAAGGCUUCGGCCUUAGUGGCGCACGGGUGCGUAACGCGUGGGAAUCUGCCCCUCGGUUCGGAAUAACAGUUAGAAAUGACUGCUAAUACCGGAUGAUGACUUCGGUGAAAAGAUUUAUCGCCGAGGGAUGAGCCCGCGUAAGAUUAGGCAGUUGGUGGGGUAAGGGCCUACCAAGCCGACGAUCUUUAGCUGGUCUGAGAGGAUGAUCAGCCACACUGGGACUGAGACACGGCCCAGACUCCUACGGGAGGCAGCAGUGGGGAAUAUUGGACAAUGGGCGAAAGCCUGAUCCAGCAAUGCCGCGUGAGUGAUGAAGGCCUUAGGGUUGUAAAGCUCUUUUACCAGGGAUGAUAAUGACAGUACCUGGAGAAUAAGCUCCGGCUAACUCCGUGCCAGCCGCCGCGGUAA